GAGCUCGUAGGCGGUUUGUCGCGUCUGCUGUGAAAGACCGGGGCUCAACUCCGGUUCUGCAGUGGGUACGGGCAGACUAGAGUGCAGUAGGGGAGACUGGAAUUCCUGGUGUAGCGGUGAAAUGCGCAGAUAUCAGGAGGAACACCGAUGGCGAAGGCAGGUCUCUGGGCUGUAACUGACGCUGAGGAGCGAAAGCAUGGGGAGCGAACAGGAUUAGAAACCCUNGUAGUC
rnacentral:rRNA from 1 species